ACGGAGACGUCAUGGACUGAUCACACCGCCACGGAAGGUGUCAUGCCUCGGUGCCAAGAGGACAUGCCUGUGGUACCCCCACAGGUGGUUAUAGCUCAGGUAUACCCUAUGGUAUAUUCUAAUAAGGAUAUCAUGUCACAACACAUGCGACACAAUAUCAACACAAAGGGGUUCUAAUAUGUACAUGUUAAACUGAAAUAAUACAUCAACUCAAAGUCCCCAAAAAUACUAACAUGCACAUUACUACAAAUAUCAAAAUAAAUUUAGACAUGUUGUACUAGUCUAAAGAGUACAAAUAUGAGUUCCAACUAUGAAUGCCAAACAAAACUAUCACAAUGAAUUUGACAAGAAAUAAUCAUGAGAGGCAAUACUAAAUUUCAAACCGCAUAACGAAACGAACAAAUCAAAAACAAAAGAGUCUCGCUGAAAGAGUACAGAAUCCGUACCU
rnacentral:lncRNA from 1 species